rnacentral:misc_RNA from 1 species
CGCACAUUGCGCCCCUCGGUAUUCCGUGGGGCAUGCCUGUUCGAGCGUCAUUUACACCCUCAAGCCCUGCUUGGUGUUGGGCGUCUGUCCCGCUCCCCCGGAGCGCGGACUCGCCUCAAAGUCAUUGGCGGCGGUCGUGCCGGCUCCUCGCGCAGCACAUUUGCGCUUCUCGGAGGCCCGGCGGAUCAGCGCUCCAGCAAGCUACUUUCAUGACUUGACCUCGGAUCAGGUAGGGAUACCCGCUGAACUUAA